rnacentral:rRNA from 1 species
ACUCCUACGGGAGGCAGCAGUGGGGAAUAUUGGACAAUGGGCGAAAGCCUGAUCCAGCCAUGCCGCGUGUGUGAAGAAGGUCUUCGGAUUGUAAAGCACUUUAAGUUGGGAGGAAGGGCAGUAAAUUAAUACUUUGCUGUUUUGACGUUACCGACAGAAUAAGCACCGGCUAACUCUGUGCCAGCAGCCGCGGUAAUACAGAGGGUGCAAGCGUUAAUCGGAAUUACUGGGCGUAAAGCGCGCGUAGGUGGUUCGUUAAGUUGGAUGUGAAAUCCCCGGGCUCAACCUGGGAACUGCAUUCAAAACUGACGAGCUAGAGUAUGGUAGAGGGUGGUGGAAUUUCCUGUGUAGCGGUGAAAUGCGUAGAUAUAGGAAGGAACACCAGUGGCGAAGGCGACCACCUGGACUGAUACUGACACUGAGGUGCGAAAGCGUGGGGAGCAAACAGGAUUANAUACCCUGGUAGUCCACGCCGUAAACNAUGUCAACUANCCNUUGGGAGCCUUGAGCUCUUANUGGCGCANCUAACGCAUUAANUUGACCGCCUGGGGAGUACGGCCGCAAGGUUAAAACUCANANGAAUUGACNG